GACGAACGCUGGCGGCGUGCUUAACACAUGCAAGUCGAACGGAAAGGCCCUGCUUUUGUGGGGUGCUCGAGUGGCGAACGGGUGAGUAACACGUGAGUAACCUGCCCUUGACUUUGGGAUAACUUCAGGAAACUGGGGCUAAUACCGGAUAGGAGCUCCUGCUGCAUGGUGGGGGUUGGAAAGUUUCGGCGGUUGGGGAUGGACUCGCGGCUUAUCAGCUUGUUGGUGGGGUAGUGGCUUACCAAGGCUUUGACGGGUAGCCGGCCUGAGAGGGUGACCGGCCACAUUGGGACUGAGAUACGGCCCAGCCUCCUCCGGGAGGCAGCAGUGGGGAAUAUUGCACAAUGGGCGGAAGCCUGAUGCAGCAACGCCGCGUGCGGGAUGACGGCCUUCGGGUUGUAAACCGCUUUCGCCUGUGACGAAGCGUGAGUGACGGUACUGGGUAAAGAAGCACCGGCUAACUACGUG
rnacentral:rRNA from 1 species